UGAAAUAAGGAUGUAGUUCAACUUCUAUGAAUGCUCGGCGAUACGAUAUGUAGAGAGGACAAAAAUAUGUAG
rnacentral:tRNA from 1 species